rnacentral:rRNA from 1 species
AUUGAACGCUGGCGGCAGGCCUAACACAUGCAAGUCGAACGGUAGCACAGAGAGCUUGCUCUCGGGUGACGAGUGGCGGACGGGUGAGUAAUGUCUGGGAAACUGCCUGAUGGAGGGGGAUAACUACUGGAAACGGUAGCUAAUACCGCAUAACGUCGCAAGACCAAAGUGGGGGACCUUCGGGCCUCACACCAUCGGAUGUGCCCAGAUGGGAUUAGCUAGUAGGUGGGGUAAUGGCUCACCUAGGCGACGAUCCCUAGCUGGUCUGAGAGGAUGACCAGCCACACUGGAACUGAGACACGGUCCAGACUCCUACGGGAGGAAGCAGUGGGGAAUAUUGCACAAUGGGCGCAAGCCUGAUGCAGCCAUGCCGCGUGUAUGAAGAAGGCCUUCGGGUUGUAAAGUACUUUCAGCGGGGAGGAAGGCGGUGAAGUUAAUAACUUCACCGAUUGACGUUACCCGCAGAAGAAGCACCGGCUAACUCCGUGCCAGCCGCCGCCGUAA